AACUGCACAAAAACAGAAGAAAGGAAAAUAUAGACUUGUUUUAUUUACCUUUUAUGCAUUAUAUAAUUUUGUUAUUGUCGAAACGUUCCCUCAUGUUCGAUCGUACAAUUUUACGGUUCGGGACACGAUUAUUAUACGUUCGUGAAUUGAGAUUUAGUCACGAAGAACAAAGUUACUUCAUAAAUAUAUAUGGUGUGUAUAUGUGCAUAUUUGUGUGUAAUGCGUUUACGCAACGAGUUACACAUUUUUCCGGAAACAACGGUAUAUCGACUUCGUUCAUUUUGCUUUGCGUCAUCGCAAUUUUUCUACACAAUUCUUAAUUACAAUUUACAGGAAACAUGUGCCAUGAUGUGUCGUAUUAAUGAUGUAUAAAUACGCGAGGAAGUGAAACUUUCUUGUGGACUUUUAUAAUUAUCAGUGUUAUCUCUGAGAUACGGAAGGGGAGGCGGGAGAGAGAGAGAGAAGAUCCAUAUUGACAUUAUUGACAUGUUACAUUAUUAUUAAACCGAACCCUAAUCGGAGUGUCUACUUUCACUCAAGAUCAUAAGAAAAUCAUGGAGAGCGCAAAAUGAUAAUGUGGUGAUUACUAAAAAGUUGGUAACAUUAAUUAAUGUUGGAACUUUAUUGAUUAUUUUACAUUAAAAAUCACCAAUUUAUUAUCGUGAAACAGCCUUUUACAUAUAUUGCAUGGAAUAACCGGUACGAAACAUAUCCUGGUAUGGUGGAAUUAUACACCGAUCUUUCUUGCGUAAUAAAAAGAUUAUUACGGCACUGAUCUCAUUUCUUAAUAGACAGAAACAUAAAAAAAUUUACAAUCAGGAGCGAAAGGAUCAGAAUAAGUUAUAUAUAUGUUAUUAUUACUGGAUGGCGAUUAAACCGGUUAGGUUCUUUAAAAAUCUGGCCUUGUGUUUAAAUCUGUAAUUCGGAUAAACUUUCCUCUGCAUGUGCAUAGUAUCGACGUGUACGUGACACAAAGGAAUGUGUUUGUAUGUAUGUGUGCCGAUUAAAGUUAAUAGUAUUGUUUUGCAGGUAGUCGAUGAUCGUAUAAUGAGAAAAAAGUUCUAUCUUUUUUGCUACUUUGAAUGUAGCCUACAUUGCGUCGAGCGUGAAAAUAGAAAAUAGAAAAUGUAAAUAAGACAAACUAUGAUCGGAUUUUAGAUUGGAUUGGAUUAGACGCUAUCAAUAUCGUUAUUUUCUUUCCGCUGUUUUUUUAUCAAUAAAUUAAUUAUCCAAAAAGAUAAAAGCAUCUUAAAUAUAUGUCUUACAUCUCAAAAUAUUAUUAUGAAAAAAGUUUCAUAUAUCGUUUUUUUUUUUAAAUUAAAUUUGAUUAACUAUCUGUAAUAAAAUUUGAGUAUAAUUUUCUUGUUGGUUUAGAAGUUGUACAAUUUUUUUGCUCUUAAUUCUUAUGUAAAAUUGCAUUCUGUAAUACUUAGUUGCAACUGAUGAGAAAGUAGCACGAUUAUUUAUAUUACAAAUUAAAUUUUUUACAUGUAAUAAAACUCUAAUAAAAAUAUUUUUGCGAAAGUU